GGGGAGGGAGAGGGAGGUCGCGGGGGCGGGGCACAGCUAGAGCCCCGCCCCCAGGGAGGGCCGUGCCCGCGCGGCACUCCUCCCCUCCCCCCACCUCCCGUGGCGACCACCGUGGGGCGCGAGGUCCGGGCCCUACCCAGUUGGAGCCCCUCUUCCGUGUCCGCUCCUCCGGCCCCCGGCUGAAACCAAGCUGGGAGGAAAAAGCCCUGAGCGCUGCUUUGCACCCCUUCUUGCAGGGCGCAGACUCUAUGUGUGGUGUAGGUUUAUUGCCUUGGCCUCAGGCAGGUGGCGGCUGCUCCUCUCUGCUUUAUGAAAGACGGGGACAGUGACGCUGAGUCCCUCAAAGUCUUUGAGGUGAAUGCCGAGCCGGAUGCAGGUCUGUGGAAGAGAAGUUUUGUUCCCAUGAUUCAGAAUAACCAAUAUAUGAUAGACUUU